CGCCCCCCCGCGCCUCCAAGACCAUUCCUCCUUCCCAAAACAAAGGCUCCCCUAACCGGAUCGGCCUCUGUCAGCCUCGCCCUUCCUUCUCCGUGAGCCUACUCCGGUGAUCCCGAUCUCUCUCUCUCUCAGAGAAAAAGAUUGACGAGCUUCACAAGAAGGCAUGUGCAUGCUGCAUUCUGUAGUUCUGGAUCUUGCAACACCUGUGCUUUUGAUCAAGGAAAAUUUAUGUAAUAUAUAUUGUCACCUUUGUCUGAUUGAAGAUGUAAUUGGGGACAUGUUUUCUAAACUCAGAAAGUAAUGAUUUUCAUGAUCUCACAUGUUCAA